GCGGCCCAGGAGCGGACAGCUCAAUUGCACCCAACUGACUGAAAAUUCGAUCCUCACUGCACGAUUCAUCAGGUCGAUCGAUCUUUUCGGGACGGUGCAGUUAAAUGCUGCGGUCAAGAAUCCAUGAAUCUAAAGAGGGCAUCUGUUCCUGAGCUACACCGCAGUACAACUGAAAGUCCGACCCCUCCAUGGAGGACACCUGGACACCUGAUAGGAUUACAAAGGCCAGAAGACGCAUGAAGUGGGAGCUGCGGAAGGCCAUAGCCUAGCAGCAGUGCAGGCAAAGAAAUGAAGAGAAAGGCAGUAAGAAAUUACGGAGGUGACCAGGAAAAACACUGCGAAAAUUAUAAUUCUGUCGUAACUAUUGCCAAUUCUUAAACACAAUCCCAAACUCAUUGUUGUAAAUAAGAGGUCUUAAGUCCAAAUACCAGGAAAAUAAAUUGACACACC